AAACCAACAGGGAUUGCCUUAGUAACGGCGAGUGAAGCGGCAAAAGCUCAAAUUUGAAAUCUGGCGCUUCGGUGUCCGAGUUGUAAUUUGAAGAAGGUAACUUUGGAGUUGGCUCUUGUCUAUGUUCCUUGGAACAGGACGUCACAGAGGGUGAGAAUCCCGUGCGAUGAGAUGCCCAAUUCUAUGUAAAGUGCUUUCGAAGAGUCGAGUUGUUUGGGAAUGCAGCUCUAAGUGGGUGGUAAAUUCCAUCUAAAGCUAAAUAUUGGCGAGAGACCGAUAGCGAACAAGUACAGUGAUGGAAAGAUGAAAAGAACUUUGAAAAGAGAGUGAAAAAGUACGUGAAAUUGUUGAAAGGGAAGGGCUUGAGAUCAGACUUGGUAUUUUGCGUUCCCUUCCUUCUUGGGGGGGUUCCUCGCAGUUUAUCGGGCCAGCAUCGGUUUGGAUGGUAGGAUAAUGACUUUGGAAUGUGGCUCUGCUUCGGGAGAGUGUUAUAGCCUUGGUUGAUACUGCCUGUCUAGACCGAGGACCGCGUCUUUGACUAGGAUGUUGGCAUAAUGAUCUUAAGCCGC
rnacentral:rRNA from 1 species